AAAUUGAAGAGUUUGAUCAUGGCUCAGAUUGAACGCUGGCGGCAGGCCUAACACAUGCAAGUCGAGCGGUAACACAGGGAGCUUGCUCYUGGGUGACGAGCGGCGGACGGGUGAGUAAUGUC
rnacentral:rRNA from 1 species